UAGGGAAUCUUCCGCAAUGGACGCAAGUCUGACGGAGCAACGCCGCGUGAGUGAAGAAGGAUUUCGGUUCGUAAAACUCUGUUGUUAGAGAAGAACAGCGCAUAGAGUAACUGUUAUGCGUGUGACGGUAUCUAACCAGAAAGCCACGGCUAACUACGUGCCAGCAGCCGCGGUAAUACGUAUGUGGCAAGCGUUGUCCGGAUUUAUUGGGCGUAAAGCGAGCGCAGGCGGUCAAUUAAGUCUGAUGUGAAAGCCCCCGGCUCAACCGGGGAGGGUCAUUGGAAACUGGUUGACUUGAGUGCAGAAGAGGAGAGUGGAAUUCCAUGUGUAGAGGUGAAAUGCGUAGAUAUAUGGAGGAACACCAGUGGCGAAGGCGACUCUCUGGUCUGUAACUGACGCUGAGGCUCGAAAGCGUGGGUAGCAAACAGG
rnacentral:rRNA from 1 species